GACGAACGCUGGCGGCGUGCUUAACACAUGCAAGUCGAACGGUAAGGCCCUUCGGGGUACACGAGUGGCGAACGGGUGAGUAACACGUGGGUGAUCUGCCCUGCACUUCGGGAUUAGCCUGGGAAACUGGGUCUAAUACCGGAUAGGACCACUGCCUGCAUGGGUGGUGGUGGAAAGCUUUUGCGGUGUGGGAUGGGCCCGCGGCCUAUCAGCUUGUUGGUGGGGUGAUGGCCUACCAAGGCGACGACGGGUAGCCGGCCUGGGAGGGUGGCCGGCCAGACUGGGACUGAGAUACGGCCCGGACUCCUACGGGAGGCAGCAGUGGGGAAUAUUGCCCAAUGGGCGCAAGCCUGAUGCAGCGACGCCGCGUGAGGGAUGACGGCCUUCGGGUUGUAAACCUCUUUCAGCACCGACGAAGCGCAAGUGACGGUAGGUGCAGAAGAAGGACCGACCAACUACGUGCUAGCCGCCGCCGUAA
rnacentral:rRNA from 1 species